AUUGAACGCUGGCGGCAUGCCUUACACAUGCAAGUCGAACGGCAGCACGGGAGCAAUCCUGGUGGCGAGUGGCGAACGGGUGAGUAAUGUAUCGGAACGUACCUUUCAGUGGGGGAUAACGUAGCGAAAGUUACGCUAAUACCGCAUAUUCUGUGAGCAGGAAAGCAGGGGAUCGCAAGACCUUGCGCUGAUUGAGCGGCCGAUAUCAGAUUAGCUAGUUGGUGAGGUAAAGGCUCACCAAGGCGACGAUCUGUAGCGGGUCUGAGAGGAUGAUCGCCACACUGGAACUGAGACACGGUCCAGACUCCCACGGGAGGCAGCAGUGGGGAAUUUUGGACAAUGGGCGCAAGCCUGAUCCAGCCAUGCCGCGUGAGUG
rnacentral:rRNA from 1 species